GUGCUUGCUUUGGCAACACAUAUACUGAAAAUGGAAUGAUACAGACAAGAUUAGCAUGGCCCCUGAGCAAGGAUGACACGAAAAUUCGUAAAGCAGUCCAUAUUAUU
ensembl:snRNA U6 U6 spliceosomal RNA